UACGUAGGGAGCGAGCGUUGUCCGGAAUUACUGGGCGUAAAGGGCGCGUAGGCGGGAACUUAAGUUAGAUGUGAAAACUCCGGGCUUAACCUGGAGACUGCAUUUAAAACUGGGUUUCUUGAGGGCAGGAGAGGAAAGUGGAAUUCCUAGUGUAGCGGUGAAAUGCGUAGAUAUUAGGAGGAACACCAGUGGCGAAGGCGACUUUCUGGACUGUACCUGACGCUGAGGCGCUAAAGCAUGGGGAGCGAACAGG
rnacentral:rRNA from 1 species